rnacentral:lncRNA from 1 species
GAUUAUGAUCACUCAUCUAUAAGAGUUGUAUGAUGAGCAGAGCCACACAGUGUGACUCGAGGUGUCCAAGAGACUCUUCAAGCUGAAGAUGCAUGAAGGACAGUCAGUCCAUGAACAUUAUAUGAUAGUGAUCAAGGAUAUUAAGGAGCUUGAGAAGCUCAAGCUUGAUAUGUAGAAGAAAUUACAAAUAGAUUUGAUCUUUCAAUCUCUUAUGAGUUU